rnacentral:tRNA from 1 species
CCCGAGCUGGUGUACUGGUUCGCAUGCCAUCUGACACGCGGUGUUCCGUGUGCCCCAAAGGGAGUGGAGGUCUGGGUUCGAAUCCUAGGCUCGGGA